rnacentral:rRNA from 1 species
UGGGGAAUUUUGGACAAUGGGCGCAAGCCUGAUCCAGCCAUGCCGCGUGCGGGAAGAAGGCCUUCGGGUUGUAAACCGCUUUUGUCAGGGAAGAAAAGGUUCUGGCUAAUACCUGGGACUCAUGACGGUACCUGAAGAAUAAGCACCGGCUAACUACGUGCCAGCAGCCGCGGUAAUACGUAGGGUGCAAGCGUUAAUCGGAAUUACUGGGCGUAAAGCGUGCGCAGGCGGUUAUGCAAGACAGAGGUGAAAUCCCCGGGCUCAACCUGGGAACUGCCUUUGUGACUGCAUGGCUAGAGUACGGUAGAGGGGGAUGGAAUUCCGCGUGUAGCAGUGAAAUGCGUAGAUAUGCGGAGGAACACCGAUGGCGAAGGCAAUCCCCUGGACCUGUACUGACGCUCAUGCACGAAAGCGUGGGGGAGCGAAACAGGAUUAGAUACCCUGGUAGUCCACGCCCUAAACGAUGUCAACUGGUUGUUGGGAGGGUUUCUUCUC